rnacentral:rRNA from 1 species
UCUUAUGUACAUUCCUGCAACGUUGAUGCACCAGAUCCCAUCAAAACUAUGUAGUUAAGUGCGCUUGGGUUAGAUUAUUACUAGGAUGGGUGACCUCUUAGGAAGUCCUAUUAUUUUACAU